rnacentral:rRNA from 1 species
UACGUAGGGUGCGAGCGUUGUCCGGAAUUAUUGGGCGUAAAGAGCUCGUAGGCGGUGUGUCACGUCGGCCGUGAAAACCUGCAGCUUAACUGUGGGCGUGCGGUUGAUACGGGCAUCACUGGAGUUCGGCAGGGGAGACUGGAAUUCCUGGUGUAGCGGUGAAAUGCGCAGAUAUCAGGAGGAACACCGGUGGCGAAGGCGGUGGUCUGGGCCGGCACUGACGCUGAGGAGCGAAAGCGUGGGGAGCAAACAGG